GACCUGUUGUCUCCUCUCCCAGGAAGGGACACUGUCGCUGGGGAGGGAGACCAGUUGUCUCCCCUCCCUGUAAUAUGCACUGCGCUGGGGAGAGUGUACGAGGCUUUCCUCUCAGCUGGCUGCCCAGCAUCCCUGUAGGGCUGCUUGAGAGACCUCGGUCCCAUCUCCACCUGCCAACUGGGGGUCUUCCCAGGACCAGUCGAUAAGGUCUCUUAUCUCUGGGGCUGGUUGGGAAGUAGGUGGUACAGUACCCAGGACAGGCUUAAUUGCUGGGGAGGAGG